rfam:Myotis brandtii contig225108, whole genome shotgun sequence.
GGCAGUUCUCAGGUAACGCACCCUGGAUUCGGGCUCCCUCCUCUCUGGUUCCGGGUGUGUCACCCAAGAACCACA